GAACCGCGUGAAGGAUCAUUACUGAGAGGGGUUUUCGGACCCCGGGGGCCCCGGCCCCCAUCUCUUCACCCUAUGUUUACGUACCUUCGUUGCUUUGGCGGGUCUUAGGGCUCGCCCCAUACCGGCUACGAGCCUAGUGCUCCGGUCGGCCCGUGCUCGCCAGAGGCCCAUCAAAUUCUGUUCACCAGUGACGUCCGAGCAAAAACACAAUAGUAAAAAACUUUCAACAACGGAUCUCUUGGUUCUGGCAUCGAUGAAGAACGCAGCGAAAUGCGAUAAGUAAUGUGAAUUGCAGAAUUCAGUGAAUCAUCGAAUCUUUGAACGCACAUUGCGCCCCUCGGUAUUCCGGGGGGCAUGCCUGUUCGAGCGUCAUUGCACCCCUCAAGCUCAGCUUGGUAUUGGGUCUUCGCCCCCACGGCGGGCCCGAAAGUCAGUGGCGGUCCGGCGUGACUUCGAGCGUAGUAAAUCUUCUCCCGCUUUGGAAGCUCGCGCUGCGGCCGGCCAUCAACGCCCAAAUUUUUCAAUGAUUGACCUCGGAUCAGGUAGGGAUACCCGCUGAACUUAA
rnacentral:rRNA from 1 species